rnacentral:tRNA from 1 species
GGGGCCGUAGCUCAGUUUGGGAGAGCGCUUGAAUGGCAUUCAAGAGGUCGGGAGUUCGAUCCUCCUCGGCUCCA